UACGGAGGGAGCAAGCGUUACUCGGAAUUAUUGGGCGUAAAGGGCGCGUAGGCGAUUUGAAAAGUCUUGUGUGAAAGCCCCGAGCUUAACUCGGGAAGUGCACAAGAAACUGUUGAAUUUGAGUUCCGGAGAGGAAGGCAGAAUUCCCGGUGUAGCUGUGAAAUGCGUAGAUAUCGGGAGGAAUACCAGUGGCGAAGGCGGCCUUCUGGACGGAUACUGACGCUGAGGCGCGAAAGCCAGGGGAGCAAACGGG
rnacentral:rRNA from 1 species